rnacentral:tRNA from 1 species
GCUAGUGUAGUUUAAAAAACAUUGGUUUUGUAAACCAAAAAUGGGGAUUUCCCCGCCCUCUGCCAGUU